rnacentral:rRNA from 1 species
CAGCCGCCGCGGUAAUACGUAGGGUGCAAGCGUUAAUCGGAAUUACUGGGCGUAAAGCGUGCGCAGGCGGUUAUAUAAGUCAGAUGUGAAAUCCCCGGGCUCAACCUGGGAACUGCAUUUGAGACUGUAUGGCUAGAGUGUGUCAGAGGGGGGUAGAAUUCCACGUGUAGCAGUGAAAUGCGUAGAUAUGUGGAGGAAUACCGAUGGCGAAGGCAGCCCCCUGGGAUAACACUGACACUCAUGCACGAAAGCGUGGGGAGCAAACAGGAUUAGAUACCCGCGUAGUCCCUGUCUCUUAUAC